rnacentral:sRNA from 1 species
GGGGCACCCGAAGAAGAUACAGCAUCCUCUUCAGAAGACGUCCAAAUUGCUCUCCGUUUGUAGAUCGGGGGAAGAUCAUCUCGGUGAUUUGAGUCGCUAGAAUCGACAAGAGAAGCGCUCGGGGACGAUAGACGAGAAGGGAAACAACCAGAAAACAAGAAUUUCUAUCCCGGAAAAAUCAAAAAUAACAAAAAGAACGACGGAGCUUCGCCGGAAAAGAAAAAACGAUAGAAAUAUCAAGAUCAGAGAGAAGGAAGCAAACCUUGUUUAUUUUCUUCGAAAACUUCAAAUGAAAUCUCGAAGGAGUGG